GCCGGGGGUCGGAUAAUACAACACCCGCAAGGGGAAUAGUCCGGCCUGUCCAAGUCAGGUUCUGAACCCCCGGCACCAGGGC
rnacentral:ncRNA from 1 species